rnacentral:rRNA from 1 species
AAAAUUGAUACCGUAACUUCGGGAGAAGGUAUGCCCCUGGUACGUGAAGGCCCUUGCGGCCGGAGCGGAACGGGGUCGCAGAGAAUCGGUGGCUGCGACUGUUUAUUAAAAACACAGCACUCUGCAAACACGAAAGUGGACGUAUAGGGUGUGACGCCUGCCCGGUGCCGGAAGGUUAAGUGAUGGGGUGCAAGCUCUUGAUCGAAGCCCCGGUAAACGGCGGCCGUAACAAUAACGGUCCUAAGGUAGCGAAAUUCCUUGUCGGGUAAGUUCCGACCUGCACGAAUGGCGUAACGAUGGCCACACUGUCUCCUCCUGAGACUCAGCGAAGUUGAAAUGUUUGUGAAGAUGCAAUCUCCCCGCGGCUAGACGGAAAGACCCCAUGAACCUUUACUGUAGCUUUGCAUUGGACUUUGACGGGACUUGUGUAGGAUAGGUGGGAGGCUUUGAAGCCGGGACGCUAGUUCCGGUGGAGCCAUCCUUGAAAUACCACCCUGGUGUCGUCGAGGUUCUAACCCAGGCCUGUGAAUCCAGGUCGGGGACCGUGCAUGGUGGGCAGUUUGACUGGGGCGGUCUCCUCCCAAAAGGUAACGGAGGAGUACGAAGGUCACCUAGGUACGGUCGGACAUCGUACUGAUAGUGCAAUGGCAAAAGGUGGCUUGACUGCGAGACCCACAAGUCGAGCAGGUGCGAAAGCAGGUCAUAGUGAUCCGGUGGUUCUGUAUGGAAGGGCCAUCGCUCAACGGAUAAAAGGUACUCUGGGGAUAACAGGCUGAUUCCGCCCAAGAGUUCACAUCGACGGCGGAGUUUGGCACCUCGAUGUCGGCUCAUCACAUCCUGGGGCUGUAGCCGGUCCCAAGGGUAUGGCUGUUCGCCAUUUAGAGUGGUACGUGAGCUGGGUUUAAAACGUCGUGAGACAGUUUGGUCCCUAUCUGCCGUGGGCGCUGGAAGUUUGAGAGGGCCUGCUCCUAGUACGAGAGGACCGGAGUGGACGCACCCCUGGUGUACCGGUUGUGACGCCAGUCGCAUCGCCGGGUAGCUAUGUGCGGAAGAGAUAACCGCUGAAAGCAUCUAAGCGGGAAACUCGCCUCAAGAUGAGACUUCCCCGGGGCCUCGAGCCCCCUGAAGGGUCGUUGAAGACCACAACGUUGAUAGGUCGGGUGUGUAAGCGUGGCAACACGUUCAGCUAACCGAUACUAAUUGCCCGUGUGGCUUGAUC